rnacentral:lncRNA from 1 species
AUUUGAACAUUUCUUUUUAUCUAUCGUUCAUUUGUGAGAAUUGACAUAAAUGAUAUUUGUUUAGAUUAAAGCUGAGUGUUUUGUGUGUGUGUAUUUGAACAAUGGAAAUUAACCUUAAUUUGUAAUUGAAGCUUUAUAGGCCCUGACUAAGGAAGUGACAGACAGAUCAUUAAGCCAGAAUAGGAUCUUGAAAGAAAUCAGAAGAAAAGAUACGUGAAGAACUGCCUUGACCCAACAAAGGCUGCACACAGGAAACAGCGUUUUCUCUCAGCAUUCCGUUCAUUCUGACACAUUUCCUCCUGCUCUUUCUGCCCAUGACAUCAUCUGAUGUCAUGCUGUCACUACGAUCACUGUCACGUGGUGAGAUAAUGCAGGGCCUUGGGGCCCUUCUUUACAGGACCCAUGAUGCAUACCUCAGACUUACAUUAAAAUCCACCUAGGAAGAAUAAUUCCAACAGAGUGAUGGUGAGCUGGGAAGGGUGGGAAAUAAGUGUCUGACUUUAAGAUCGGCUUACUUAACCCCCUUGUAGCCAUGAUUCUCAAAGGGUUGCACUGGGCUUACUGGAGGACCCACGGCCCAGGGAGUGCUGAGUGUAAGGGAGGACAUCGUGCCAGGGCGGGAACAGUAAGGGCA